rnacentral:rRNA from 1 species
UACGAAGGGGGCUAGCGUUGUUCGGAAUUACUGGGCGUAAAGCGCGCGCAGGCGGUCUUCCAAGUCAGUGGUGAAAGCCUGGAGCUCAACUCCAGAACUGCCAUUGAAACUGUUAGACUUGAGUACGAGAGAGGUGAGUGAAUUCCCAGUGUAGAGGUGAAAUUCGUAGAUAUUGGGAAGAACACCAGUGGCGAAGGCGGCUCACUGGCUCGUAACUGACGCUCAGGCGCGACAGCGUGGGGAUCAAACAGG